rnacentral:ncRNA from 1 species
UUCCUCUACUCUGUUUUGCCUAGUAAUAGAUAAGAUGAAUUCCCUAAGCUCAGUCUGUUUUGCUCGUGAUGAUAAUUAGUGAAUGAUCUCUCCCUGUCCUUAUCUCAACCCAUAAGCUCUUUGUUGUACUUUUUCUCCCCUGUCUAAUGAAGGAGGGGAGUGAUAGAGCGGCUCUGGUGGGCACCUGGCUCUCAGCCAGGGUAAACCCACCAUACCCCCAUAUAAUUGGAUACUGUCAUGUGGUUCAGGACGCUAGAAUCAAAAGACAUCAAUUGUGCGAAUUGUUGGCGGAAGAGGCCAAAAGAAAAGAACGGGUUAUAUUUCAAGAACCAUUGCUAAAAGAUCGUCAAAAUGAAUUAUUCAAACCAGAUUUAAUAUUUGUCAAAGGAGAUCAAGCCAUUGUGGUGGAUGUUACCAUAAGAUACGAAAGUAAAGAAACAUCGUUGGCAGAAGUGGCAGCAGAAAAAGUAAGAAAAUGACCAACAUCUCAGCAGUCAAGUGCGAGAACUGAUGAAUGCCAUUAAUAUCAAAUUUAUGGGAUUUCCUCUGGGUGCACACGGGAAAUGGCAUCAAGGCAAUUAUGAAUUACUUGCAGAGUUGAGACUCUCAAAUUCCCAACAGGAUAAAGUGGCUCAUUGUCUAUCGAAUCAAGCAUUAUUUACAUCAGUGGACAUUUUACACAUCUUUGUAAGUCAAGCGCGGUCUAUUGUAAGAUCCUGAAAAUUGUAAUGUAACUGUAGUGUGUGUUGUAAUUGUACUACUUAAUAAAUUGUGAAUAGAGUGUUGAGGGCCAUCACCUAGAGUGGAACUAACCUGCUCAUGACAGUUAGGGAUUAUAGUAUGUAGGGACAAUAUGGGACUCGAAAUCAUGACACGUCUUCUCUCUUAGUGAGAGAUAUAAAUUACCAAAUUUGACCAAAGUGGAUGGGCCACCUAUACUUAACCUGGAAAACGAACAAAUAUAAUUUUACAUGUGUUCGAUAAAUAGCCAAAUGCCUCAUCAUCUAAUUAGUGAUGUGCAUGAAUGGAUGAACAAGAUUCCCACUGGCCCUACCUACUAUCCAGCAAAACUACAGACAAGGGAAUGGGCUUGGUGGAAUCAGUGGGGAAAGAAGACCUUGUUGAGCUUGACUCUAGUCUGGUGCUGUGAAGAGACAUGAGAGGUGUAGAAUAAGUGGGAAGCCGGGCGCACGCUCAGUGGUGCGGGGCGACCCACCUGCCGGCGUCCUGGCCGUCGGUGAAAUACCACCACUCUGAUCGUUUUUUCACUUACCCGGUGAAGUGGGGGGGUGAUCCCUGAGGGGAGCUCUCGCUUCAGGUGCCAAGCACCUGACACGUGCCAGGCGCGACCUGCUCCAGGGACAGCGGCAGGUGGGGAGUUUGACUGGAGCGGUACACCUGUCAAAGCAUAACGCAGGUGUCCUAAGGCGAGCUCAGGGAGGACGGAAGCCUCCCGUGGAGCAGAAGGGCAAAAGCUCGCUUGAUCUUGAUUUUCAGUACGAAUACAGAUCAUGAAAGCGGGGCCUCACGAUCCUUCUGGCUU